GAUGAACGCUGGCGGCGUGCCUAACACAUGCAAGUCGAGCGAUCUUCUUCGGAAGAGAGCGGCGGACGGGUGAGUAACGCGUGGGUAACCUGCCCUGUACACACGGAUAACAUACCGAAAGGUAUGCUAAUACGAGAUAAUAUGCUUUUAUCGCAUGGUAGAAGUAUCAAAGCUCCGGCGGUACAGGAUGGACCCGCGUCUGAUUAGCUGGUUGGUAAGGUAACGGCUUACCAAGGCGACGAUCAGUAGCCGACCUGAGAGGGUGAUCGGCCACAUUGGAACUGAGACACGGUCCAAACUCCGACGGGAGGCAGCAGUGGGGAAUAUUGCACAAUGGGCGAAAGCCUGAUGCAGCAACGCCGCGUGAGCGAUGAAGGCCUUCGGGUCGUAAAGCUCUGUCCUCAAGGAAGAUAAUGACGGUACUUGAGGAGGAAGCCCCGGCUAACUACGUGCCAGCAGCCGCAGUAA
rnacentral:rRNA from 1 species